rnacentral:rRNA from 1 species
AUUGAACGCUGGCGGCAGGCCUAACACAUGCAAGUCGAACGGUAACAGGAAGAAGCUUGCUUCUUUGCUGACGAGUGGCGGACGGGUGAGUAAUGUCUGGGAAACUGCCUGAUGGAGGGGGAUAACUACUGGAAACGGUAGCUAAUACCGCAUAAUGCCGCAAGACCAAAGAGGGGGACCUUCGGGCCUCUUGCCAUCGGAUGUGCCCAGAUGGGAUUAGCUAGUAGGUGGGGUAACGGCUCACCUAGGCGACGAUCCCUAGCUGGUCUGAGAGGAUGACCAGCCACACUGGAACUGAGACACGGUCCAGACUCCUACGGGAGGCAGCAGUGGGGAAUAUUGCACAAUGGGCGCAAGCCUGAUGCAGCUAUGCCGCGUGUAUGAAGAAGGCCUUCGGGUUGUAAAGUACUUUCAGCGGGGAGGAAGGGAGUAAAGUUAAUACCUUUGCUCAUUGACGUUACCCGCAGAAGAAGCACCGGCUAACUCCGUG